rnacentral:rRNA from 1 species
UACGGAGGGUGCAAGCGUUAUCCGGAUUCACUGGGUUUAAAGGGUGCGUAGGCGGGCUAGUAAGUCAGUGGUGAAAUCUCCGGGCUUAACCCGGAAACUGCCAUUGAUACUAUUAGUCUUGAAUACCAUGGAGGUGAGCGGAAUAUGUCAUGUAGCGGUGAAAUGCUUAGAUAUGACAUAGAACACCAAUUGCGAAGGCAGCUCGCUGCACAUAUAUUGACUCUGAGGCACGAAAGCGUGGGGAUCAAACAGG